GAGCGGAUGACGGGAGCUUGCUCCUUGAUUCAGCGGCGGACGGGUGAGUAAUGCCUAGGAAUCUGCCUGGUAGUGGGGGACAACGUUUCGAAAGGAACGCUAAUACCGCAUACGUCCUACGGGAGAAAGCAGGGGACCUUUGGGCCUUGCGCUAUCAGAUGAGCCUAGGUCGGAUUAGCUAGUUGGUGGGGUAAUGGCUCACCAAGGCGACGAUCCGUAACUGGUCUGAGAGGAUGAUCAGUCACACUGGAACUGAGACACGGUCCAGACUCCUACGGGAGGCAGCAGUGGGGAAUAUUGGACAAUGGGCGAAAGCCUGAUCCAGCCAUGCCGCGUGUGUGAAGAAGGUCUUCGGAUUGUAAAGCACCUUAAGUUGGGAGGAAGGGCAGUAAGUUAAUACCUUGCUGUUUUGACGUUACCGACAGAAUAAGCACCGGCUAACUCUGUG
rnacentral:rRNA from 1 species